UGUUAUAUUGGUUUGCAUCAAAUUGAAACCAGUUUUAGGCUCCAUGCUUGCAAAAAUCUAUCAUAAUCCACAAAGCAAUGAGGAAUAUAGUAAACCUGUUUUAGGCUCCAUGCUUGCAAGAAUUUAUCAUAAUCCACAAAGCAAUGAGGAAUAUAGGAAAAGAUUGCAGCAGAUGGUGGAGUUCUGGUCUUCUGAAGAGCUAUAUGAGCAAGAGACUAUAUCUUUAAUGAAGGGUUAGAUGAUUGGUGGGCCACAAUCAACUUUUC
rnacentral:lncRNA from 1 species